rnacentral:rRNA from 1 species
CCCUUAGAUGUCCUGGGCCGCACGCGCGCUACACUGAUGCAUUCAACGAGUUUUACCUUGGCCGAGAGGCCUGGGCAAUCUUUUAAACCUGCAUCGUGAUAGGGAUAGAUUAUUGCAAUUAUUAAUCUUGAACGAGGAAUUCCUAGUAAACGCAAAUCAUCAAUUUGCAUUGAUUACGUCCCUGCCCUUUGUACACACCGCCCGUCGCACCUACCGAUUGAAUGGUCCGGUGAAGCCUCGGGAUUGUGGCCAGUUCACUUUAUUGGGAGUUGGCUGUGAGAACUUGUCUAAACCUUAUCAUUGAGAGGAAGGUGAAGUCGUAACA